rnacentral:rRNA from 1 species
CAGUAGCCACGGGAAUACGAAGGGGGCUAGCGUUGCUCGGAAUCACUGGGCGUAAAGGGUGCGUAGGCGGGUCUUUAAGUCAGGGGUGAAAUCCUGGAGCUCAACUCCAGAACUGCCUUUGAUACUGAAGAUCUUGAGUUCGGGAGAGGUGAGUGGAACUGCGAGUGUAGAGGUGAAAUUCGUAGAUAUUCGCAAGAACACCAGUGGCGAAGGCGGCUCACUGGCCCGAUACUGACGCUGAGGCACGAAAGCGCGGGGAGCAAACAGGAUUAGAUACCCGAGUAGUCCCUGUCUCUUAUAC